rnacentral:rRNA from 1 species
AGGACGAACGCUGGCGGCGUGCUUAACACAUGCAAGUCGAGCGGAAAGGCCCUUCGGGGUACUCGAGCGGCGAACGGGUGAGUAACACGUGAGCAACCUGCCCUUAGCUUCGGGAUAGCUCCCGGAAACGGGAAUUAAUACCGGAUACGACUGUGGUAGACAUCUACCACGGUGAAAAGAAUUUCGGCUAGGGAUGGGCUCGCGGUCUAUCAGCUAGUUGGUGGGGUAACGCCUACCAAGGCGACGACGGAUA